GGAGCGGACCGGGCCCCUCUGGCGCGGCGCUCUGGGUGACAAUGGCAUUGCCAUGGUACCAGGCGCUUCGUGAUGUCGGACCGCAUCG
rfam:Novosphingobium aromaticivorans DSM 12444, complete genome.